rnacentral:lncRNA from 1 species
CGGAUGGGUUUACAUCACCAAACCCAAUCUUACUCUUGGAGAACAUCGGGAAAUAGUUCUCUCUCCAACACAACACCAGAGAAAGUGCUUAUGUUUUGAAGGAAAAGUGUGAUAAGCCCUAAACACUCUCUCUGUCUCUCUCUCUCUCUCUCUCUCUCUCUGACACUCACUGCUUCUCUGAGGAACAGAAGAGACAGACUUUAUCACCAGCAGAUUAAAAAUAAAGAGGAGGAGUUCGAGGAAAGGCAUUCAGAGCUCGAUCUGCAAGUAUUGGUCAAUUAUGUCACCUGGAGUCCAUACAGUAGAUGUGAGGUCAACCAAUGGAUUCUGGGAGAAAUGAUGGCUUUCUGUGACUGUGGUGGAUAUUCUUCAGAGACUCUAGUAUUGUGUAUCAGCUUCAGUGUUUGGAUCUGCUGGCGGUGAUGGAUAAGCUCUGGACUCUGACAGCUGUGCAGAUCACACUGUGACAGCGAACUUCACAUCUGCUCUUUGGAGAGAAGCACACAGACUCUGUGAGCUUACAACACACAUGUAAGUGAUGGGACAUUGUGGUGAAGGGGCUUCUUUUGCCUGUAAAUUAUUUAGCUUGAUGCAGUUGCUGCACUCUGAUUGAGUUUUGCACAGCCCGUCUUUUAAACACUGUCACAUUGUGAUUCUCUUCUCUCUUUCGGAACUUCCCCGAGGCACCUUGACAUUUGCAGCUUUGUUCAAUAUGAUGUCAUUUCAACUGAAAUACAAAAUGGGGCGGGGCACACUGAGUGGCUCCUCCCCUUUUUAAAAAAUGGUUAAUCUUUAAUUGGUCAGAAGAUUUGAUGAAAAGCUUAAGUGAAACUAUAACACACAACAACUAACUAAUAACUAAAACAUAUUGAAGCUAUAACACACACACACACACACACACACACACACACACACACACACACACACUUUCAUUUUGAUUUCAGGGGGACUGUGGGCAGAAGAUAGAUUGGCAGGGAUGGUGAUUUUUAUGGAAGUGAUUUUUAUUGAUCAUUUGAAUUAUGAUUUGAAUAUGAUGCUGCUGGCACUGGGUCAGAGCUGUUGGAGGGAAGCCUAACCUAUUUGAGCUCUGGUUAUUACUCUGAACAGCCCAAAGCUGCAUUACAGACAGAGCAAAGCCUGGGGACGCAGCAGUGGCUUUCUGUUGUGGAAAAUAUUGGGUUUGUGCCAGAGCCCUUUAGAUCCGCUGUUAACAUACCAUUUUCAUCAAGUCAACAUGGAACGUUUACUUCUUCUUGAGUUUAUUGGUUCAUAUUAGUAAGUACAAGUCUUGACAUCAAAAUAAAACAUGACAAAUAAGAAUAAUCUACUUUGCAAAGUUCAUAAGGACCAUGUGAGUUAUCGGC